UACAGAGGUCUCAAGCGUUGUUCGGAUUUAUUGGGCGUAAAGGGUGCGUAGGCGGCGCGGUAAGUCGGGUGUGAAAUCUCGGAGCUUAACUCUGAAACUGCAUUCGAUACUGCCGUGCUUGAGGACUGGAGAGGAGACUGGAAUUUACGGUGUAGCGGUGAAAUGCGUAGAUAUCGUAAGGAAGACCAGUGGCGAAGGCGGGUCUCUGGACAGUUCCUGACGCUGAGGCACGAAGGUCAGGGGAGCAAACGGG
rnacentral:rRNA from 1 species